rnacentral:lncRNA from 1 species
AGAAUACUAAAAUAGAUUGUAAAAUAUGAGAAGAGCUGGUCAAGUUCCAGUAUCACACCAUGGGUACGAAAUGGUUGAAGAAGAAAAUAAUAAGAUAUUGGCUUCAUUAACAUCUAAAGUUCAAGAGCUGAAGAGUCUAUCAAUUGAUAUUGGCCAUGAAGUAAAAUAUCAAAACAAAAUGCUUAAUGAAAUGAACACAGAUUUUGAUAGUCUUGGCUCA